UGGGGAAUAUUGCACAAUGGGCGCAAGCCUGAUGCAGCCAUGCCGCGUGUAUGAAGAAGGCCUUCGGGUUGUAAAGUACUUUCAGCGAGGAGGAAGGCAUUAAGGUUAAUAACCUUAGUGAUUGACGUUACUCGCAGAAGAAGCACCGGCUAACUCCGUGCCAGCAGCCGCGGUAAUACGGAGGGUGCAAGCGUUAAUCGGAAUUACUGGGCGUAAAGCGCACGCAGGCGGUCUGUUAAGUCAGAUGUGAAAUCCCCGGGCUCAACCUGGGAACUGCAUUUGAAACUGGCAGGCUUGAGUCUUGUAGAGGGGGGUAGAAUUCCAGGUGUAGCGGUGAAAUGCGUAGAGAUCUGGAGGAAUACCGGUGGCGAAGGCGGCCCCCCUGGACAAAGACUGACGCUCAGGUGCGAAAGCGUGGGGCAGCAAACAGGAUUAGAGUACCCUGGUAGUCCACGCUGUAAACGAUGUCGACUUGG
rnacentral:rRNA from 1 species